rnacentral:rRNA from 1 species
GACGAACCGUCCAAACGUUAUCCGGAAUUACUGGGCUUAAAGGGUGCGUAGGCGGCGCGGAAAGUUGGGUGUGAAAUCCCUCGGCUCAACCGAGGAACUGCGCCCAAUACUACCGUGCUUGAGGGAGAUAGAGGUGAGCGGAACUUAGGGUGGAGCGGUGAAAUGCGUUGAUAUCCUAAGGAACACCGGUGGCGAAAGCGGCUCACUGGAUCUCUUCUUACGCUGAGGCACGAAAGCUAGGGUAGCGAACGGG